UACAGAGGUCUCAAGCGUUGUUCGGAUUCAUUGGGCGUAAAGGGUGCGUAGGUGGCGCUGUAAGUCAGGUGUGAAAUUUCGGAGCUUAACUCCGAAACUGCAUUUGAUACUGCGGUGCUCGAGGACUGGAGAGGAGACUGGAAUUUACGGUGUAGCAGUGAAAUGCGUAGAGAUCGUAAGGAACGCCCGUGGCGAAAGCGAGGUCCUGGACGCCUACUGACGCUGAGACGCGAAAGCCAGGGGAGCGAACGGG
rnacentral:rRNA from 1 species